GCCGGGCGUGGUGGCGCAUGCCUGUAAUCCCAGCUACUAGGGAGGCUGAGGCAGGAGAAUUGCUUGAACCCGGGAGGCAGAGGUUGCAGUGAGCCAAGAUUGCGCCAUUGCACUCCAGCCUGGGUGACAGAGCGAGACUCUGUCUCAA
rnacentral:SRP_RNA from 2 species